GGAGAGAAAAAUACUAAAUAAAAAGAGAGAGAAGAAGAGAAGAAGAAAAGUUCUUCUUUCUUUCUUGAUGAGCUGGUUCAGAUCUUAUCGGAUCUGCGUGAAGGAGUUCGGUAGCGAUCAUCUUCUUCGAGAUCUAGAAAAAGAGAUGCAGAUCUAAGGCUGAGGAGCGAGAUCUACAAGGUGCUAGCACACCAGUGAUCUCGAUGCU
rnacentral:lncRNA from 1 species